CCCUCUGACAUGUGGUUUACUUCCCUUCCCUUCCUUUGGAGUUCGCGGUCUUCAUGGCGUGACGCGAGACUGCAAGCCCCUGAAGUGCUGAGGGCAGAAACAUCUCCUUACUCCGCCUCCCAUUCAUGUCCUGCUUGAGUGACAGUCAGUUGGAAGCCGAGCCCUGUUUCAAGCUGUGGUCCCUGUGCUGGAUCAUAGUCCCUGCAGGAUUUUUUUUCUGCCUUUUCAAGGGCUAAUAAAACAGGAUGGGUGAAACAAAGUCAUAAGCCGACUCUGUCUGAAAUCCAUGUCAUCUCAUCUAAAAAGAAGAAAGAGACCAUUUCCAUGUCUGGCCUGACAGUAACGCCUGAACUGGCAAGAGUGCAAUUCCAUUUGAUUUAUAGAAUAACUGUGUGACAAAUGAUGACAAAAAUAAAC